ACGAGAGUAUGCUGUCUCUUUUGAAAUAUUUAGAAGUUAACUUUCAGGGGAAGAGGCCUGAAUAUAUUUAAGGGACAAGAAGACCCUGUUGAGCUUUAUUUAUGCCGCGAAUGUGCUUUAGAGUGGGGUUGACAUUAAGUCAACCUGUUGUGUAUUCUAUAUAAUGACAGUUUGCGGGGAAUCUUUAGUUGGGGCGACUGAGGAACAUAAAAAGCUUCCUUAAUUAACUUCUUAAUUUAGGAUGUAAGAGUUUUAUAUGCUUUCAUGUUAUUUUGAUCCAAUUUAUUUUGAUUAAAGGAAAAAGUUACCACGGGGAUAACAGCGUAAUCUUUCUGGAGAGAUCUUAUCAAAAGAAGGGUUUGCCACCUCGAUGUUGGACUAAGAUAUCCUAAGGGUGUAGAAGCUCUUAAAGGUUGGUCUGUUCGACCAUUAAAAUCUU
rnacentral:rRNA from 1 species